rnacentral:rRNA from 1 species
UACAGAGGGUGCGAGCGUUAAUCGGAAUCACUGGGCGUAAAGGGUGCGUAGGCGGGUCUUUUAAGUCAGGGGGUGAAAUCCUGGAGCUCAACUCCAGAACUGCCUUUGAUACUGAAGAUCUUGAGUUCGGGAGAGGUGAGUGGAACUGCGAGUGUAGAGGUGAAAUUCGUAGAUAUUCGCAAGAACACCAGUGGCGAAGGCGGCUCACUGGCCCGAUACUGACGCUGAGGCACGAAAGCGUGGGGAGCAAACAGGG